UACGUAGGGUGCGAGCGUUGUCCGGAAUUACUGGGCGUAAAGAGCUCGUAGGUGGUUUGUCGCGUUGUUCGUGAAAACUCACGGCUUAACUGUGAGCGUGCGGGCGAUACGGGCAGACUGGAGUACUGCAGGGGAGACUGGAAUUCCUGGUGUAGCGGUGGAAUGCGCAGAUAUCAGGAGGAACACCGGUGGCGAAGGCGGUUCUCUGGGCCUUACCUGACACUGAGGAGCGAAAGCGUGGGGAGCGAUCAGG
rnacentral:rRNA from 1 species